UACAGAGGAGCCAAGCGUUGUCCGGAUUGACUGGGCGUAAAGCGCACGCAGGCGGUUGCGCGCGUGGGGUGUGAAAUCUGGCCGCUUAACGGCCAGGCGCCAUCCCAUACGGCGCGACUGGAGGGCUGCAGAGGUCGAUGGAAUUGCCGGUGUAGUGGUGAAAUGCGUAGAGAUCGGCAGGAACACCCCAGGGGGGAAACCAGUCGACUGGGCAGCAGCCUGACGCUGAGGUGCGAGAGCGUGGGGAGCGAACCGG
rnacentral:rRNA from 1 species